CCUACGGGCGGCAGCAGUGGGGAAUAUUGGACAAUGGGGGGAACCCUGAUCCAGCCAUGCCGCGUGUGUGAAGAAGGCCCUCGGGUUGUAAAGCACUUUCAGUGAGGAAGAACGCCUGGUGGUUAAUACCCAUCAGGAAAGACAUCACUCACAGAAGAAGCACCGGCUAACUCCGUGCCAGCAGCCGCGGUAAUACGGAGGGUGCGAGCGUUAAUCGGAAUUACUGGGCGUAAAGCGCGCGUAGGUGGCUUGAUAAGCCGGUUGUGAAAGCCCCGGGCUCAACCUGGGAACGGCAUCCGGAACUGUCAAGCUAGAGUGCAGGAGAGGAAGGUAGAAUUCCCGGUGUAGCGGUGAAAUGCGUAGAGAUAGGGAGGAAUACCAGUGGCGAAGGCGGCCUUCUGGACUGACACUGACACUGAGGUGCGAAAGCGUGGGUAGCAAACAGGAUUAGAUACCCCGGUAGUC
rnacentral:rRNA from 1 species